rnacentral:rRNA from 1 species
UACGGAGGGGCUAGCGUUGUUCGGAAUUACUGGGCGUAAAGCGCACGUAGGCGGCUUUGUAAGUUAGAGGUGAAAGCCCGGGGCUCAACUCCGGAAUUGCCUUUAAGACUGCAUCGCUCGAAUUGUGGAGAGGUAAGUGGAAUUCCGGAGUGUAGAGGUGAAAUUCGUAGAUAUUCGGAAGAACACCAGUGGCGAAGGCGACUUACUGGACACAUAUUGACGCUGAGGUGCGAAAGCGUGGGGAGCAAACAGGG